rnacentral:tRNA from 1 species
GGGACGCUGGUCUAACGGGAAGACACUUGGCUUGCAACCAGGUAAUCGGGGUUCGACUCCCCGGCGCUCCA